CUGCCGAACCUGAGUUCAUCCAGAACUCAGUUUCAACGGCAAACUAUCUUCUCCUUCCCCUCAAGCUCUCAAAACAUGCAUAUCUCAUCUACUCAACAUACAUAUACUCAUGUAUAUGAUCACAGGGGUCUAAAACUAGCUAAUAACCCCAAACAACAAAACAAACAUAACACAUAAUCAUAUAUUCAUGCAUAUAUCCGCAAACCUUCCAUUGAAAACCUAACCAUGCAUCUCUCUCUUCCCAACUCCCAUAAAACCUUCAGAAAACAUAUUAAAACAUAGGCAACACAUCACUUACCUCCUGGUGAGUGAUCUCAACAAAGGAAAACGGAUCAACU
rnacentral:lncRNA from 1 species